AUACGUAGUCGUGGAAAGUGGCACGGAGCAAAUCUUUAUACCUCUCCCAAGCAUCGUACAUGCUCUCGUCAUCGAACUGCAUAAAAGAAGAUAUAUUAUUUCUCAAUUU